AUGAAAGCUUCCCGGAUCUUGUGGGUAAAGUGUGCAACCUCUGCAGAGUGUCAAACUAUUCGAAUAGUCGUGUCCACGGUCAAGGACAGUUGGGUGGUGCUGCUUAGACUAUGUCCAUAUGUUUCUGAAAAACAACACAGAUUGGAAAUGUUUAUGAGAAUCAAGAUAAGUUGGAGAUUGAGUUGUGUGAAACUUCUUCUCAAUAUUGAUAUCUAUAAACCCUUGAUUCAUGAUCAUAGAUGCAUUAUUAACACCACAAGUAUUGAUCAUACUUGCAUAAGAAAAACUAUCUUACUACCAACAGGCCAACAUAGUGAUAUUAUCAUGCAUAUGUCAUUCUGUUACCAUUCAUGGGUUGCUUGCGAGUACAUUCAAACGUACUCACCGGCUUGUCCCUGGCAAUUUACUUGGCCAUGCAUGGAAGAGCAGGAAUAUGAGGAAGAGUUCUUUGGUGACGAACAUGUGAACUAG
rnacentral:rRNA from 1 species